UAUUAGACAAAAAUCUGUCAACAAUAUUUAUGGUCAGUUUCCCUGAAGAAAGACUAUAUUUUAAAUGUACUAAAAGGGAAUUUUGUCAAAGUUUAGAAGUACACUAGCAUAUACUUGGCACCAGAGGUAGCAGACAUGGACGAAACACCACAAAACUCUCAUUUUGAGUUGUUUAAGUCUGAAAGGACACAUUUUAGCAGGCUGAUUCCAGAUAGUCUGUGGGGAAACAGGCUGUCAGGUUGUCAACAGAGAAACAUUUCUGUGUGAGUGAAGAAUAUCCAUGGUUUGGUGUGUCUGUGGGGAUCAUGAUUUGAAGCACAGCAGGUUGUCUACACAACUGUCCGGAAGAGGGAUGGCGAGCAAACGAUUGAGUAGAUGGAGUCAUCUGGAUUAUGUGUUCUUCCUGGUCCUGCUCCUGGUUUGCCGUCCAGUGACGUCAAACACAACUGUCACAACAACUAGCUUUUCACGCAUCACA